rnacentral:rRNA from 1 species
GCUUGAGCACGUAGGUGGGUUUGUAAGUCAGAUGUGAAAGCCUUCUGUUCAACGGAAGAAUUGCAUCUGAAACUUCAAGUCUUGAGUGUAGGAGGGGAGAAUGGAACUUCUGGUGGAGCGGUGAAAUCCGUAGAUAUCAGAAGGAACGCCGGCGGCGAAAGCGAUUCUCUGGCCUAUUACUGACACUCAGUGUGUGAAAGCUAGGGGAGCAAACGGGAUUAGAUACCCCGGUAGUCCUAGCCGUAAACGAUGGGCACUAAGUAGAGGGGAUUACCGACGUUCUCUCUGCCGUAGCUAACGCAUUAAGUGCCCCGCCUGGGGAGUACGGCCGCAAGGCUAAAACUCAAAAGAAUUGACGGGGGCUCGCACAAGCGGUGGAGCAUGUGGCUUAAUUCGAUGCAACGCGAAGAACCUUACCGGGGCUUGACAUGGUAGAAGUAGGAACCCGAAAGGGUAACGAACGGUAUCCAGUCCGUGACUAUCACAGGUGUUGCAUGGCUGUCGUCAGCUCGUGUCGUGAGACGUUGGGUUAAGUCCCCUAACGAGCGAAACCCUUGUUUUUAGUUACCAGCGGGUUAUGCCGGGUACUCUAGAAAGACUGCCGUCGUCAAGACGGAGGAAGGUGGGGAUGACGUCAAGUCAUCAUGGCCCUUAUGCCCCGGGCUGCACACGUGCUACAAUGGUCGGUACAAACGGAAGCGAAGCCGAGAGGUGAAGCGAAUCCAAGC